rnacentral:rRNA from 1 species
GACGAACGCUGGCGGCAUGCCUAAUACAUGCAAGUCGAGCGAACAGAUGAGGAGCUUGCUCCUCUGACGUUAGCGGCGGAUGGGUGAGUAACACGUGGGCAACCUGCCCUGCAGAUGGGGAUAACUCCGGGAAACCGGGGCUAAUACCGAAUGAUCAGUUUGUUCGCAUGAACAAACUCUAAAAGACGGUUUCGGCUGUCACUGCAGGAUGGGCCCGCGGCGCAUUAGCUAGUUGGUGGGAUAACGGCCUACCAAGGCGACGAUGCGUAGCCGACCUGAGAGGGUGAUCGGCCACACUGGGACUGAGACACGGCCCAGACUCCUACGGGAGGCAGCAGUAGGGAAUCUUCCACAAUGGACGGAAGUCUGAUGGAGCAAUGCCGCGUGAGUGAAGAAGGUUUUCGGAUCGUAAAACUCUGUUGUGAGGGAAGAACAAGUACAGGAGUAACUGUCUGUACCUUGACGGUACCUCAUUAGAAAGCCACGGCUAACUACGUGC